CCUUCGGGGGGCAGCAGUAGGGAAUUUUCCACAAUGGGCGAAAGCCUGAUGGAGCCACGCCGCGUGGGUGAUGAAGGUCUUCGGAUCGUAAAACCCUUUUGUUAGAGAAGAAAGUGCGUGCGAGUAACUGUUCACGUAUCGACGGUAUCUAACCAGAAAGCCACGGCUAACUACGUGCCAGCAGCCGCUGUAAUACGUAGGUGGCAAGUGUUAUCCGGAGUUAUUGGGCUUAAAGGGAACGCAGGCGGUCUUUUAAGUCUGAUGUGAAAGCAUUCGGCUUAACCGGAGUAGUGCAUUGGAAACUGGGAGACUUGAGUGCAGAAGAGGAGAGUGGAACGCCAUGUGUAGCGGUGACAUGCGUAGAUAUAUGGAAGAACACCAGUGGCGAAAGCGGCUCUCUGGUCUGUAACUGACGCUGAGGUUCGAAAGCGUGGGUAGCAAACAGGAUUAGAUACCCGGGUAGUC
rnacentral:rRNA from 1 species